AUUGAACGCUGGCGGAAUGCUUUACACAUGCAAGUCGAGCGGCAGCGCGGGGGCAACCCUGGGCGGCGAGCGGCGAACGGGUGAGUAAUACAUCGGAACGUGUCCUUAAGUGGGGGAUAGCUCGGCGAAAGCCGGAUUAAUACCGCAUAAGCUCUGAGGAGGAAAGCGGGGGCUCCGUAAGGACCUCGCGCUGUUGGAGCGGCCGAUGUCGGAUUAGCCAGUUGGCGGGGUAAGAGCCCACCAAGGCGACGAUCGGUAGCUGGUACUGAGAGGACGACCAGCCACACUGGGACUGAGACACGGCCCAGACUCCUACGGGAGGCAGCAGUGGGGAAUUUUGGACAAUGGGGCAACCCUGAUCCAGCCAUG
rnacentral:rRNA from 1 species